rnacentral:lncRNA from 1 species
CCCCUUCCCCCCGCGAACCGAGCAGCAGAGGGAAAACGGCCCCACUGAAGUGGCGGACAGGAGGCUCUCGACAGAUUCUCAACGAAUUUCGCCUCCUCGCAGCCCCCCCCUUAUCAUUUUUCCACCCAAAACCCCUCGCACCCCCCUCGGAACCCGGAGGCAGCGGGGGAAGCACCGCCACGGGAACGCGGCGGCAGCACCGACGGCUGUGGCCCCGCUCCGCUCCGCUCCGCGCCCGGGCUGCGCUCUGCCCCGCACCGCUCCGCGGGCGGCACCGGGGCGUCCCUCGGGCUCCGCUCCGUCUGCCGGAGACGUUUCCCAUUUCUCCUCACAAAAACCCAUUUUUCCGUUCUGCUCCCCCGAACGCCCAUACUUAUUGCACAGAAUUCAUAUAUUGAACAGAAAAGCCCUCCGCGAGUUUUCUUUGUUUAAUUGUCCCCGAGGUGCGCAGCCCGCACUGCACAUAACGGCCACGGGAGAUCCGUGCGGGGCGGCGCGGGGGGAGCGGCGGCAUUUGGGGUUCGGGCCGGGUGGGAAACAGCACCGCUGCGGCACUGCGUGGGGAUCACCGCGGUUCUGUGGUUCAGGAGAGAAAGAAUAAUAGACGUUCCCGAAGUGGAGGUGGGGGGAGCGCCUGUUUGGUUCGCUGCUUUUCGGAGGUCACAACGAGCAUUUUUGUUUUACUACAGAAAACGGAAAACCCGACACUGAAUGAUUUUCUGAUGCCGUUCUUUGGGGGGGAGAGGAGGGGGAGAAGAGGGGAGGGCUGCGGUUGGGGUGCGGCACGGAGCGGAGCUUCCAGAAAACGCCUCACAUACCGCCCCCCCCCCCCCCCCCCCCCUUCUUUUUUAUUUAUUUAUUUUAUUUAUUGCUGUAUUUUCCUUCUGACGGAAGCAGGAGGGGAAUUGGGUGCAAAGCGGAUGAAAUGCGUCAAAAAGAGCCGUCGCCGCAGCGGGGCUGCGCUCCACGGGGGUCUCUCGGCCGCCGCUGCCCUCCGGGCCCGACCCCAACGGGGAUCGCACUGCGCCGGCCGGGAAUUAACACAAAUCAGCGCACAAAUAGGUCGAGAAACAAAGAAAAAACAAAACCAAACCAAAAUAAAACGGAGCCAUCAGAGCGCGCAGAUGAACACCUCGGGGUUCAUGCAAUGAUUUUUUUUCUUUUUUAAAUUUCGUUAUUAUUAUUAUUAUUAUUAUUUCUUAUUUAGCCAACGAUAAAUUCAUUGCAAAAGACGCGAAGGAGAUCGAUGUUGGGGGCCGCAGAGGGCGUCAGGGAGGAAACAACGAAUAUUCGCCCAAAUCGCGGCGUGCUGCGGAGGCAUUGGGGCAUUUCCCCCCUCCUCCCCAUCUCUCGCCCCGCAGAGCCCCGGCCCUGCACCGCUGAGGGCCCGCGCGGUGCGGAUCUGAGGGGUGCGUCGGGCUCGGGAGACAUAUUUAGAAGCACCAUUAAGAUAAUGAUGAUAAUCAUCAUUAAAAACACCGGAAAACGUCCACGGAGCCUAAAGAGGACCCCGGUCCGGUGCGGGACAAACGUGUCCCCAGGCAGCGCCAGCCGGGGGAGGGUGCUUCUGGGCGGGGGCGCGGGGCUUUGUGCUGCUGCUGGAUACGGCGGUACCCCCACACAAACCCUCACAGCCCCGGCAUACACGUGCCGAGACACGGAGAUAAACGGGAGGGUGAGGGACGCCGGCGGGCUCAGCGCUGCGGGCAUCCGAGGGGUGCGGGACACCGGGGCUCUUCCUCGACUCCCAAAUUCCCCCCCGCUUCUGGGGCAUCGCUGAGCCCCCCCCCGCCCAGGGGGACCGCCGUGGGGACCGCACCCCGGGCAGCCCCGAUUGCUGCCCCGCGUCCGAAGGUGGGAGAAGGAGAUUUUGUUCGGCGGCGCCUGGAAAUAAAAAUCGCCCCGAACUUCUGCCGGCGGCUGAAAAUGGGGAUAGAACGCAGCGAAAGGAGGGGAAAUAAAAAGAGAAAAAGGAAGGAAAAGGAGGAGAGAGGCAGAGGAAGAGAAGAAAAAGAGAGCCUGAAAAUCACCAUCUUCAUCAUCAUCUUGUGGGAUAUAUUUUUAUUCUCUUCUCUCAUACAUUGACUCUAUCCUACCAUUACAAGCCCCCAGCCCAGCAAAGAUCCCAGUGAAAGUGUCCACACAGUACCUUGCAGUGCUCCCUGUGCACCAAAGCAGCAUUUCUGCUCUUCUCCCAGCUUCAUUGACAAGCAGGAGGCAGCCACCUGCUCCACAUCUCAGAGCCACUCUUUUAAGCAUAUUUAUGACUUUUCAGUUAUUUAUAACUUGGUUUAGACCUCUGCAAGUGCAUUCUGGAAUAUUCAUUUCUAAGGGGAACCCUAAGCAGGCACAAAACCCUUAAACUUCGAAGAGAAGACAGCAGUUCAUAACCUCAAAGUGUUACUAUUAAAAAGACAGUUCUCAUAGUAAACCUUCUGGCACCAUAACAGUAUCUUCUUUUAAUAGAAAAGCACUUCUUAAGCAAUUUAGCUAAUUUGAUUCAUUAAAAAAAAGAGAGGAAAAAAAAGAAAAAUUUGGAGAGCAUAAAAUCUCAGAAAAAAAAAGCCAGCAGGGAAGGUAAAUGUGUGAUUAGCUCCCCCUGCACACACGUAAAUUAAGGCUGGGAUAAAUUAGCAGUAAGACUGAAAGUUAUUGCCACUUCUGGAGCACCUGAGAACAGAGCGCUGCGAGCUUGGGAAAGGUGAGGAUGUGCCAAGUGAGCGCAGGACCGACACUCAGGAAAUCUGCUCCUGUGCUCAAAUGCUCCAUCUUAGGAUUAAUGUGUUAAUUAAAUGUGUAUUGAUGUUGGCUCUGGAUAGAAGCUGUGUCAGGCUGGGUGUGAGGGAAAAAUUCUGUCCCAGAGGGCGGUGGGCAUGGCACAGCGAGUACUGGGACACAGCUCUCAGCCAUAGUGUUUGGGUGGUCAUAUGUGGAGCAGGGGGUUGGACUCCAUGGUCCUUGUGAGUUUCUCCUGUCUUGGGACAUUUUGUGGUUCCAUGAUUCUAAGACCCGCAGGACUUGUUUCCCUCCCACAGCCACUUUCUCAUCCCAGGUGUCACUCACAACAUCCCUGUUCCCAACCUGAGGGGCACUGCUAAGGCAGACAGGUGGAGGACAACAUGAAUUGACUCUCUAACAGGCAAUCACAGAGGGGUCUGAAGCUGCCAGAUCUGACAAAUGGACAUUAAAAUAUCCUUACCUUCCUUCAUUUCUCCAGAUUGACUCAGACUGGGACUCUGUUCAAGGACUCCUGCUCACUGUGACUUUGCAAGUCCCUCUGUCCCAGACAAGCCAUAGGAGAAGCACCUGCUCUUGCCCUGAGUAAAACGUAGUGUUGGUUCAGACCGUCACCCAUGGUUCCUCGUUUCUGUUUAUACUCAUCAGUAAAUCUUUUUGAGGAAAGUCAACCUUUAAAAUAUUUUUCCAUUAACACUCCCCAUAGAAAGCAACCCAGAAGAAAAAUUAAAUGGUCACUGUGAAACCAUCUCUGAAAGCAAGCAAACGGAGGUUGUCAGAGGUGAUGGCAACCCAAAAAGGAGCAAUGCUUUGGGAAGAAACUUCUGGAAGGCCCAGCUGCGAGCAAGCCAGAGCUCCAAACAAGUCAUGCGUGCUCCUGGAGCUCAGGUGGUGCCCUUAGAGGUGUCCGUGGAGCUGUCACUGGUGCUGAAAGAAGGGAAAUGAGCCAAUAAUUGGGUAAUCAGCGGCCUCUUACUUUUUAAAUGAACCUGUAGGAUUUCCCCCGGCACCCUCCCUCUCCUGUCCUCGAGCUCAUCUUUCACUCUGUCAUGCAAUUCCCCGCUGGCCAGCCACAGCCUGCCGCGCUCCCUUCCCAUUACACACAUGGCUGAGCCGGGGACGAAAGGGCUCCCAGAUUCCAGCGAGAAGGUAAUUAAUUGACUUUCCACUCUCGUUGCUAUGCGGCAAAGGUGGAAGCCGCAGCAGCCACAGUUCAUUUCUAAUCCUGGAAGAUUACUCGCAAAUGGCAUAAUUAUGGAGACAGUCAGCUGCCCGCAAUGGGGAUGCCGACUCAAUAUUGGGGUGCUUGAGGGACAAGGGAGGAUGCAGUGAGGAACCAGGAGCCACGGUGACACAUGUCCCGCUAACCCAUCAGCCAGGUGCUUGUAUCAGGGACACCAGCACUUCCCAAGGCGGUGGGUAAACCCAGAGGGAUUCUCACUCUGCCCAACUACAGUGGGUAUGGUUGCCUGCAUCACAACAGUUCAUUCACGGGCAUGCCUGGACAAGCUGCCUAAAGCAAAGCAAUAGCACAUGCUACCAACAUUUCUUAAGAGGUCAUUUCUCAGCUCAAAACAUCAAAAAGUAUUCUCUGUAGUAGUGAUGGGACAGCUCAAGAUGUUCAAAUCUCAUUUCUAGACUCGCACUGAAAACAAAUCUCCCCAGCAGCAGUGGUGGAUGACUGUACAAAAAUAAACCAAUUUUGGUGCUGAAAAAACUAUUAACCCAGGGAAUGUUUUCCUACUGAGCUUUGUAAACUUUACAGUAAAUCUGAGUAAGAGGGCAACUGUUUCAGAAACUACAAAAGAACAUCCUAUUUGAGAGCUAUGCCUUUCUCUAACGAUUUGUGACUUCGUUUUGCAAACAUCUUCACAACUCUUUUGUAAUGGUGACAAGCACAUCUGUGGUUCCCAGUCCUCCCCAUUCACUGUGCAUCUGGGGCUGCCCCCAUACUGCCAUUAAAGCCCUUUAAGCAUAAUAAUUACUGCCCAGAUUUAAAGAGGUUUGAUAAGGAAGGUUUCUUAUGGAGGCAAGGCAGGUGCCAGCAGACCCAGUGGUCUCUCAACAGUGCAGGGAGAGCAUGUCUCACUGGGACAGAUGGGUCUCAACACCUAAAGACCAUGUGGGUACAUCCACCCACAUAAGAGCCUCUCCCUGUGCUGGAACUCAGGGAAUUCACAGGAUUCCUGCAGCAAUCAGCCACUGCUUGCUGACUUCUCACUUCCCUGCAGCAUGAUGCCUGUAGCCCGCCAGGGCCCGAUGCGCUAUUUGCCUGAGAAGGUCAGAGGCAGAGCAAAUAUUUGCACUUCUUGCAUCUCAUUCAGGGCUUUAUAAGAAUUAAAGUUGUAUCUUAUGAACAAAAUCUGUAUUUCUUUCCCUCUCUCUUUUUUUUUUUUUUUUCUUUUCCCAGUUCCUUGUUAUUCUUGGGUAGUUUCUUUUGAUUUUCAAUGAGCAACAAAUUCAUUUUGCCAGUGUGAGAACACACAUAAACCCAAAAUUUGCCAGGCUCCAACUCUAUCUCCCAGUGACAGCACUAAAAAGCAUCAUUUUAACUUCAUAUUUCCAAGUGUCAGCAUCAGCCUAAGAUUUUAGUCCUGCACGUAGCCUGUACAGCCUGAAUACAAGCCAGCCUGUUUCAAAAGAUGACACAGCUGCCCAUGGAGCAGGUGGGCACACCAAGGCUUCACCAGCCAUAGAAGCACAUGGCUGGAGUCAGGAGCCAUCCACCACAAUCCCAGCAGAUGACAGCACAGGCACUGCAUGCACAGAGCUGUGAGAUCUCGGCCACUGCCGUGCCCCAGCGCCAGGAGCAGAAGCACGCAGCCCCAGGUGUUGGCCGGCAGCACACAGCCAGGUCAGGGCAGAGUCAUUUCCACCUCCCUGAAAUCUUUACAGAGCCUAAAAUCAACACCUUCCACUAUUCCCUGAGCAGUGUGAAUGACCUUAUUCACCCCGAUGUGGUGUUUACUCUGAGUCCUAAUGAAGGUGACUUGCUAACAGCUGUUUCUCUGUGAUCCUCACAGCCCACGUGGCUGCACAACUAGUGCUAGGCAGCAGUGAGGUGUGCAGCAGUAACAGAAUCCCAUUAAGCUAUUUUCAGAUGUUCCCAUCUGCCCUCUGCAUCACCACAGACGAGGGAUUUCUGCUUGCGUCGUCAACAGCAUUAAAUAUAUUUACCUUCAUAAUAGCUGUGCUUCCCUCUGCUCCCCCCCAGCAGUUAGCCGUCAGAAAUGGGAAUGCAGCUCCGAGGUGGGCUCUGGAGAGGCACUGAGUAAAAUCCAAAGCUGUGUUUUACUGCAUUUAACACCUCACACCAAUUUCAUCAGCUUUGAAUUUACAACCCACUAUAACGUGAGGUUGUGAAGUGGGCACACACUCUGCUGCAGAGCACUGUGCUUUGGAAGAAACAACUUUAUUGCCCAAGCUGUAAUGAAAUGGGUUGUCCUUUAAAAGGGGAAGUUCACAAAACGUAUGGGUAUGCCCUCUACCAACAAGAAACUGAUAUAUACAUAUAUAGGCUAGAACAGACUCCUUUUCACUUUUCCCCAGGGAAAGAGUUGUUCCUCUGUCCUGUGGGUUCCUUCUGGGGCACUGAUCUGCUGCUGGGUAGGAGCUGCAGCCACUCAUUCACAUCCAUCCACGUGGACCCUGGUGGCUCUUAGUUCAGAGAAUCCUAUCACUCUUCUGGGGCCAAUUACACAGAGCAGCAAGCUGACGCUCACACCUUCCAGAGCUGUGGAGCUGAGCAGAUUCAGAGCACCAAACCUAAGACAUUUUGCUGUGCUGCUGAUAUGCUGCAUGGGCAUUGUGGGGCUGGAGAGCCGAACACUCCGCAUACACAGAGCAGGGGGUGUGAUGAUGUAAGAUAGCAAGCCCAAAGCAGCAGGAGGCAAUGAGGAAUUAUUCCUCGCCUUAUCUCCUCUGCUCAGCACACGUCACUGCUCCUGCCAUUCCCAACACACGUCCCCAAGGACGCAUCUGCCAGCACUGCCACCUGAUAAGGGACGCUCCGCCACGUACCCUUGUACAGCUCUUUUCUUUACAUGCUUUGCACAGCCACGGCAGUUCUUCUGCAUUCCUUAGAUCUAAGGAGAUUUGGAAGGAAGCACAUGCAAAUUAAUUCUAAUUAAAAUGCACAUGCUGGCUGGCGGUGUCACGGCACAAAGGAGGCCAGGCACAGAGUCCUGAUAUUUGCACGCUACAAUGUAAAGUGCAAGGUUAUGCUGAAUGCCACGUGGUGUUCAAUGGGAAGCAAUGCUACAGUUAGCCCAGAAGAAAAUUCGUCUGCACAUAGAAUCAAACCUCUUUCCCUCCCUGUCUCCUCCUACCCUAUAUUUUAACACCAGGAAUGAUUUUGUAUGAAGGCACCUGGAGAUGCUCCCUGCAGAGCAGCUGGGAGCUGCUGCUUUCCUGCCCUACCUGCAGCAUGCACUCGGCUUGAACUGCAGUCUCUGGCUUCCUCCCAUAACGGUGUUAUGUUGUAAAUAAGAAGCAGAGCAUUCAGAGGCAUUAUAGCCUCUUCCUCUGCACACUCUACAGCCAGAGUGAGCUCUGUCACCACUGACUCAAACCACAAAACCAAAAAAGCAAAGUGAGAAAAGAGGGACAGUUAUUUACAACUACACUAUACUAAAGGUAUACCCUGUGCACAUACAGGCACCGAAAUAUUUACCUACUCACCCAAGGUCAUUAGGAAUAAGCUUAAAAAAGGCCCUGCAAUGGGGGCCUGGUACAGAAGUCCCACCCAGCCCAGGGUGAAGCCGUGACACUGAGAAGAGCUGGAGCUGCAGGUCUCAGUCAGAAGCCCACAGCCAGGGGAGGGCCCACCAUGGCACGGGGAGCAUUGUCUGCCCUUCAGAAAUCCCUUCGUUGGAAAUAGACUAAAAGCAAGUUCUAGGCAUCAAGCUGGAAAAAAAAGAAAUAAAAAGAAAAGGAAAAGCUCAGAAUAGGAUAAAUAAAAUGCAUCAAUUAACUCUAUUUGAGGGUAAGAAAAAGUCACUAUCAUCCAGUUUAAAAACAAGAACAGUAAAAAACCUUUUUUUCCCCCCGUGCCUCAACGUGUCUAUACAAAAAAAAAAAAAAAAAAAGGAAUACUAAACCUUAUUUUCUUCACAGGUUUUUAUUUGUGUUAUAUCACUGUGCCCUCAGCACUGCUUUCCAGUCACCUCAACCUCAUCCCACCACAAGAGAUGGGAGAAUUUCUGUAGCUUUCAGUGGGAGUUGGAUCAGCUCCAUGAGGAAUUUCAGACCUCCUCUUUUUUUUUUUUCCCUGUGUUUAAGAAUUGGCUUAUUUUCCAGCCUGCUAAUGUUUUCAAUUACGUGAAGCUCAAUUCAAUAUCUCUACCUGAUUGGGAGACAGCAGGAGUUGGCUUUUUGUGUUCCAUGACCUAGAGCUGACUCCAUUUGCUGCCUAUCUGACUAACUAGUGAAGCAGAAAAUGCACACAAUACAGCACAAUUAAUGACAGAGGCUGAAAAACACACCAGAUCCCAGCGGAGAGGAAGAAAUUAGGCUCCUGCACGGUGACGGAGUUUGUUGAUGAUGUUUUCCUAUUUAUAACAUUUUAAGGGGGGGGGUGGAAAAUCCUAUUUUAUUUCUUGUCUAAAAUUGGCUUAAUUUUUUUUUUAAAUUGAGGACGAUGAUAUUAAAAUCCACACCAGCUGCGUGGCACCACAGAGUGCCAAGGGGGGAGCAAUCUGUCUCUUCUGGCAAAUACAGCAGAGUAUUUAAAUCUACGUGAAGAAAACUAAAAUAACGAUCAUUUGCAAAUGAUGGACCGUACUAUUACGUUGAUAUACUACCCAUAAACAGGAUGUUAUUGUGAAGAUAUAUAAAAGCAACAUCACCGUUUGAUCCCUCUUUUUGUCCAUUCAACUAAAGGGCAAGCAGUGCCCUGCAUCGUGGUGCAGGUGUGACCCCAGCCUUGUCUCCAUGAAGACAUUGGCACUGCAGUGCAAUCACUGCUUUCACUGAGGCCACAAACGAGAUGGUGUUUCCCUGUUGGGUCUUAACUUAGACCCAACUUGGGUCUCUUAACUUGAGUCUCUUACAUACAGAGCAACUUUAGACAGAUCCAGCACUGGGAGCACAAGCUGAGUUUGUGUGAUAAAGUGGGCAGAGCCCAAGUUGUCCCAACAACAGGGAAUAAGUGGAAAGAGAAAGUAUGUGGAGGCAUCUCAGUACAUCACCUUUGUAAAUCAGGAAUGUUGUGUUGAUGUCCCUACUUGCUUUGUCCUACUGCUUAGGGCUACAUAUAUAUUUAUUUACUUUUAUGAAGAGCAAAUCCUUCUGCAGAUGCCAGCAGAACGUAAACAGUCCUUACCAGUGCUUUUUAAACACAUUCAAAUAGUCACUCUUUACAGUCAAUGAAACUUACACUGGAGAGCAGCCACUCCUUUCCCCGUCUCCUGGCCAGGUUCUCAGCUGGGCCGCCCCGUGCUCUGCCACUGUGGGACCUCAAGCACAGCAUGCACCCAUAGAGGUUGGGCUCUGGGGGCUGCAGCAGCCUCUCUGCCUGGGUUCAGGGUGAGGAGAGUGAAUAUUUCUCUGCAGCAUCAUCUGUUUAUUGAAUCACAAAGGUUGGAAAAGACUUCUAAUAUCACCAAGUCCAACCCCAGCCCACCCCACCAUGCCCAACAACCACAUCCCUCAGUGCCACAAAUCCACAGUUUUCAAACACUUCCAGGGAUGGUGACCCCACCACUCCCUGGGCAGCCUGUGGCCACUUUCAGAGAAGAAAUUCUUCCUAAUAUCCAACCUGAACCUCCUCUGGCACAACUUAAGGCCAUUCCUUCUUAUCCUAUGCUGUUACCAGGGAGAAGAGGUCAGCCCCCACCUCACCACAACCUCCUUUCAGGCAGUUGCAGACAGCAAUAAGGUCUCCCCUGAGCUCCUCUUCUCCAGACUGAACCAACUCAGUGCCCUCAGCCACUCCCCAUAGGACUUGAGCCACUCCAGACCCUUCUUUGAACACACUCCAGAACCUCAGAGUCUCUCUUUGAGGAGCCCAAAAUUGAGCACAGUACUCAAGGUGCAUUUAUUAUCCCAAAGGACAGUAAAGUAUUUGCAGAAUCUUUUAAAGAUGUUAUUUUCUAAAAGGGAAAAGCCAUUAAAAAACAUACUCAUGGCUAAGCUGUACACAGCCAGGAUCCUGCGCAGUACUGGCUUAUUGAGUGACAGCCAAGCAGCCUCCUAUAUGAGCACACCAGCACAUUGCCUGCUGGAUUUCACAAGGGGUGCCAAGCAAAGUCCAGCAUAACCUUCUUGCUAAGAAAAUACACAGGUAUUCAAAGAGCUUCAUGACUAUUGCAAAAUGGGGUACACAGGCAACCAAAGGCAUCAGAGAUGAGUUCAUGCCUACUCUCAAUUUAGUAUCUCUAAGCAAAUCCAGAAUGCAGCUUUCCAACCAACACUGCUUUUCCUCAUGUCUCCUACACAUGGAAAGACUAAUAUAUUUUAUUAUCAAUUGCUAAUACAGUAAACCAAUAUUCCUUUUAGUUCCAAAAAAUUGAUAAAUAAACAAACCAGAAUUUCCAUUUCCCACACAGACCAUAACUGCUUUUCUGCACUUUUGGGCUGUUUAUUAGUGAGAACUCUCACUGGAUCUAAGUGGCAAUAAAAGGCCUUGAGAGAGCUUGCAAAUGGAUUCUAAAUUGAUGUUUAAAAGCCUUUUUUUCCUUCCCUAAAUGGGAGAGUCUAAUGAGUUUUAAUACCUCAGGUUAGCUCCUUCAGUAAAAAGGAUGCUUCUAUCAGUACCAAGUCAUCUGGUUUGCAGGCUGGUUUCCUCUAUCCAUGCAAGUCCUGACCAAAAAACAUUUGAUUAAGGCUGUUUUAUCAUUCAAGAAAUUACACGGAGUACUGCAGGUUCGCUCCAUCAACUAGGACAGGGAAAGAGAAGAAACGUGUGGGACAGAGGCCAUGAUUUGGGCAUGAUGCUGGCACUCUGAAACACAACAGUUCUCAUGUGCUCAGAGUAGGAUGCUAAAACACAACAAAAGCAGCCUAGGAGCCAUGAAGAGAUCAGCUGCAUCAUGCUCCACACCGAAACCAAGAAUAAUAUUUCAGGUUUCAACAUGCAGCUUGGGGUUUUACCUGAGCACUGUUGUAUCUACCCACAGCCCAGGCUUGUAAAUCUCACAUUAAUAUCCAGCUCAGUUAAAAUUCUGCUGUAAAUUCUUCCAAUAAACCUCACUACAUGAGGGAGCACUGCAGACAGGCAAUGCCAGAGGAGAGCUCCUAAUUCUCACCAAACAUUUAAAGCCUGGCAGUGCCCAGCCAUCCUCCGGCCACGGGACAGUAAUGUCCCACAGCAAGUCCCCAACCUGGAGAGUUGUUCUUCCUCAUCCUCAGCCAAAUGCCUUCACAGAAAAGACAAGAGGAAUCGUCACAGCCUCAUCACCUUCCUGGGGAGGGAACCUGGGAUGUGACACAAAGAAAAUGAGGAUCCUUCAGAGAGAGAAUGUGACAUUCCCUUAAAGGAUCCUCACACACUGGAACAUUGGCUUUGGGGUCCAGACACUUAAUGGCUGCUGAUGGAGCCCAGGAGUCGCCAAGAGCCCUGCAAAGGGCACUGGAACUCUCCUUGGCCAGACAGGGCUGAGCAAACCUCGUCUGUCCAAAGCAUCCAAGUCCUGACACUGCCCCAGGUCAGCGUCACUGCGCCACUGUCUCCAUUUUGCUCUGUGGUGAUGUCCAAAGGACCACACGUGGCAGCAACAAGCUGCAGAGGAGCGAUGUGGCACAGCCGGCAGAUGCUCACCUCUUGACACCUCAAGGCCACAAUGCCUUCACCUGGGGAUGAGGCCACAGACUGGGUGCCAGCCCCAUCCCAGCAUGGUCUCACAGGGCAAACAGGUGUUGUGGGAGUGAAAGCCAAAAAGAGAAGCCUCAGGAGUGAGAUUUAUUGCUGGGCUAAUGAUAUCCUUCCCUUCCCAAUGACCUCGUCGAAGAAAGAAAGAGCUGAGUGGCUUUAUCUUUAUUCAGCACCGUGGUCCUUCUGGGACACUUGACCAUGAUUGCAUCGUUUACAGUGUCAGACUUGAUAACGCAUUGGCUGUGGCUGUGCAUGGCAGAGAACUCCCCCGGCAGCCAGGCUGGUUAAUGGGAACCGACGGGUCCUGCGGCCGCCUGCGCAUUCCCCCGCUUCCUGCUGCAGCACAUUAACGCCACAAAUUAACAUUGUAAUUGCCUUUUAACUAUUUAUCACUGUGGAGAAGCGAGAGAGGGGGAAAAAAAAAAUAGAGACCGACCACAGGCAGGGACCCAGGAGAGAGCUUAGGCGGGCAGGUCUCUGUCUGCACCUCCCUGUAUUCCUAUUUAUAGCUGGCCAUUAAGCUAUGCUAAUAAACAGCCAACCACGGGGUAUGGCAAACCCCUUGCUUAGGGACAGGAGGACAGCGAGUCAAAUAUGUGCAGUGUGCUUAACUCACAGGAGCAGGGCACGACUGCUGCCAAAACCACAGGGAUCAAACAGCAACCUCUGCAGCCUUCAGUUAGGUCCACUGCAGCGUCAUCACACGAGCGCGUACGUUUGGCACAUAAUCCCAGCAAAUGAAUAAAAGGAUAAAGAAAACGGGACAAAUUCAAGUCUGAUGACUCAGAUUUAAUCAGUUACUUCAGGAAAAGACAAUUCACAGUGGUUCAUAAAUCUCUUCGUGUGGAGAGCCCUUCAUCCAAAUAGCAGCAGAACGCAUCUGCCUCCGAUUCGCCGGAGCAAUUGCAUCAAGAAUAGCAUUGACUGUCAUUCUCCCUCGCAUGCAGUUGGCUGUUACGCCAUUUUCACAUGCAUGCAGCAGUUUAUAAGGGGAGUUGGAAUCAAGACCUCACAUAACCUAUAUAUUUAAUCAGAUUAUCCAAUUAAAUAAUACUGCCUUAAAUGGAAAGUCUGCGAUUCCCUUAAGCAUUGCUGGGCUUUCGUCGCAUGUUCUUUUGCUUGAAAUGCCUGAGCAGCACUGCAGCUAUUUUUAGACACUGAGAUGUUUGCAAAGCACCCACCACUCUGAUUUCUAGACACCAAUACCACACGUUCCUCAUCAAAUCACAGCAGCCAGAAGCGUGACGUUAAUCUAUCAAGCUACAGGGCAGACAAAAACAACAACUGCAGCUUUGUCUCCUGAUUGUGAGCAAGCACGGGAGGAAGAAGUGCUUGUUUGUCAUGCAGGGAACCCUACAGGGCACUGAGCCGCUGCCCCAAAGCGUGGCCGAACACACCUGGUUGAGGAGAGGCUGUGGGAUGGGUUAUCCUCUGCUAUCCCUGCAACUCCACUCACAGCCGUCCCAAAAUUAUGCUGUGCUACAGGUUUGGCUUUGGUCCCUCCUCACCGUGAGACCAACACCAGAACCAAACCAACCCCUCAUAGGGCUCCAGCCCUUCCUGGGUGGGGAUGCUUCAGGCUUAAGUCUUACCAGGAAGGAAAUGCAAGCAGGGCAAGGUCUCUUAUCAACGCAGAACUUAUCAAGUGCUGGAACUGGACAGGCUGGGAGGAGCUCACAAGUGCAAGGUUGCCGCAGAGCUCUGCCAUGGGGAGCAGUCUUGCAGUGGCAAACCCCGUGAGGGCUGAAAUGCCUCCAGUCACCUCAUCCCGUGGUCCCCUCUCUUGAUAGACGUAGUGCUUUGUUAUUGAUUUAUGGCUUAAUCCAAUGUCUCCAAAUCACUUAUUUAGCAGUGAUCUAACAGGUCACAAACAUGACCAGGAACGUGGCUCGGAGGUGUUCCAGCGUUGUGGUCUCUGGAGCAGCUGAGGUGCAAGGCUGUGGAUCAGCACUGUGCUUGAAGGAACAGACACCAUGUGUUACAACAACACAGUGUUUGCCCAAGGGCAAAAUCAGAGAAUAGCAAGAAAUUCAAUCAGGACCACGCGCUGAGCAGCCCAGCUCAAGGCUAUGCUUGUGCCCUGAGAUGGGACCCUGCAGUAGAGCUCCCCUGGUGCUCAGGGCUCUCCCACCACACCCAGGUUUGGUCUGGAAGCACUGGGAACAGCCACAGAAUGCUUCAUUCAACCACCAGUGUCAGCAGACCCAUCCCAACCCAGGCAGUCACCUCUGCAAGCCACUACAGAGCAGAACCAAUGAUCGCUUUGAUAUCCACUGCCAUUAAAAGGCAAUCUAAAAUUAAUCCAGUGAUUAAAAUAUCUAUUCAGUUUCUCUGCCCUUCCUAUGGCCACGCAGCCCUGGUAAAACAAGCAGGAGGCAUUCCCUUGCACGACAUCACACGGACUAUCCCCAGCCUACAGAGCUUCCUCCUGAGGGCAACUGGGUGGAAAAGGG